GUUCUCUUUUACACUUCACCUAGAGAACCACAUAAGUCAUGCAGUGGAGCAUGGAGGUUACUUCAUCUUAAAAUGAAUGGCCCAUGGAAGAUCAUUAAAACCAAGGUUGUCAGAGUCCACCAUCACCAAACAGCCAGCUAGUACGGAAACUGUGAUGGGUCAAGAUGACAGUGAUGAG